GAACAAUUUGGUGGGGGUUUGAUAAAGUUAAAUUGAUCACCUUGCUGUGCAAUGAACAGUACUAUAAUUUUUCAUUGGUGUUUUUGAAGGAAAUAUGUUAAGCCUAACUAACUGUUUACAGUGCAUGCAUAACACUAAGGUAAAUCCUCUUUUGUCUUCUACAGGAUUCUUUUGUAGCUAUAGCCAUGGUAGGUUUUGAUCAUGAAAUGGUGAGGUUUGUAAAGACUUACUUAAAACAAAAGAUGGAGCAUAUCAUUGGCUCAUAUAUAGCUCUUAUUUUCAAAGCGUAGCUUGUGGAGGCAUGGUAAAGAAGGGAACAACCUGAACUCUAUCUAAUCUUGAGAUGUUUGACAGGCAUUCUGACGGUCCGUUUAUAUUUUUAUUUGAAAACGGUGAGGUGUUUAAAAACUUAAAUAAAAGAUGGAAUAGAUUGUUUAGCUCAGUACAGCUCCUGUGUUGCAAGGUGAGUUCUUCAUGUGCUCCUCUGUUGCAAGGUAAGUUUUUAUUCAUGUGCUAUGUUUGAGUUGAAACUCAAUUGUCACUAAAUUGGUAUACUUUAGGGAAGCCAUUGUCACAAAAUUGGUAUCUUUAGGGAAGCCAUUGUCUUUGUGCCGAUUGUUGUCAUCACUAUUUUCAUGUCAAUGUUUGGACGAAUGGUGUAGGAUACUGGAUCGGAUAAAAGUGGUAGAUUAGCUUCGGGAA